ACACCAGUGGCGAAGGGGACUCUCUGGACUGUAACUGACGCUGAGGCUCGAAAGCGUGGGGAGCAAACAGGAUUAGAUACCCUGGUAGUCCACGCCGUAAACGAUGAAAUACUAGGUGUGGGGGUUUCAACACCUCCGUGCCGCCGCUAACGCAUUAAGUAUUCCGCCUGGGGAGUACGGUCGCAAGAUUAAAACUCAAAGGAAUUGACGGGGACCCGCACAAGUAGCGGAGCAUGUGGUUUAAUUCGAAGCAACGCGAAGAACCUUACCUACACUUGACAUCCCUUGCAUUACUCUUAAUCGAGGAAAUCCCUUCGGGGACAAGGUGUCAGGUGGUGCAUGGUUGUCGUCAGCUCGUGUCGUGAGAUGUUGGGUUAAGUCCCGCAACGAGCGCAACCCUUGUCGUUAGUUACUACCAUUAAGUUGAGGACUCUAGCGAGACUGCCUGGGUUAACCAGGAGGAAGGUGGGGAUGACGUCAAAUCAUCAUGCCCCUUAUGUGUAGGGCUACACACGUGCUACAAUGGCUGGUACAGAGAGAUGCAAUACCGUGAGGUGGAGCCAAACUUUAAAACCAGUCUCAGUUCGGAUUGUAGGCUGAAACUCGCCUACAUGAAGCUGGAGUUACUAGUAAUCGCGAAUCAGAAUGUCGCGGUGAAUACGUUCCCGGGUCUUGUACACACCGCCCGUCACACCAUGAGAGUUGGCAAUACCCGAAGUCCGUCAGCUAACCGCAAGGAGGCAGCGGCCGAAGGUAGGGUCAGCGA
rnacentral:rRNA from 1 species